rnacentral:lncRNA from 1 species
CAUCAAACUAUCAAAGUUUGAAAUGGUAAUUUGAAUCAUCAAAAUUGGUUGUAAUUUAUAUUAGAUGCAAAGAAACAAUUAGAAAACCUAAACUAGCUAGAGAAUUAAUUAAAAAUAUAUUGGAAUGCAGGGAGACAGUAAACCCUAGAACAAGAAAGCAAUAAUGGUCUCCAAAUCUCCAAAUAAUUAACCAUGAAAGAGCUACUCGAUUGUGGUUUUGUUUCCAGGACUCUAUUGGCAUCGGAAUAGUUUAGGAUGUUGGAAAAUUAAUUGUAAUAUCGAU